UUCCGGCCUGAAAACUGCAGCAGUUAAGCCCUUUGGAGAAACGUGAGGGCCAACGCGAUGGACUUGGGUUGUUUUCGUCAUUCGUCAUUUCGUUAUUCUACAGGUUUUUACUUGAAGUGAGAAUACCAGCAGUGAGAAAAUCACAGCCAUGCUGAAUUCAUUACUGCGGUAGUCACACAAAACCACGGAUAAAAUUUCAAUAACUGCAGGCCACAAUAUCUAAUCAUUGUGCCCAUGGACCGCCAAAGGCUUCCAUUAAAGAUUUAAAAUGCAAGAGGAAGCUUACACCAAUUAAUAACAACAGCGGCCAUCGGAAGAGCUCUGUGGAAAUGCAUGUGAAUGUUCCUCCUUGCUUUAAAUAUUAGCC